AUUCACUAUGAACAAAGUGAACAGAGUUGGCUAAUGUGUAUGUUAUGUUGAAGUGCCUUUGAUUCUUAUGAAAGUAUCAAUUAAUUAGGGGUUUUGCAUUGGCUCCCCUCAAGCAGUAGUUGCUGAUUGUAUCACUUCUUUGAUUAUUUUGUGUUUUAUGCCACCUGUACACUAUAGAUGUCAUAAAUUGUGUGCUUAUUGGAUUCAAUCUAGGUUGCAAAUGUAUGGCUUAUGUGGGACUACUCUGGUCAAACUGGUAUGUAUUCAGUAUAUUGCUGUAACGGCCCCAAUAUGGUUGUUCCAUUCAACUCAUUUACGAGUCUUCUAAGUGUGAAUUCAUUUUGCAGGGGUAAGAAUUUGAAAAUUGCAAGAGAGUUGGAUCUCAAAUCUCUCUCCUAGCCCAUAAGGCUAUGUGAGACUCUCCGUUCCACCAACCAACAGAAUUUGAAAAUUGCAAGAGAGUCGGAUCUCAAAUCUAUCUCCCAGCCCCAUUAACGCUAUAUGAAACUUGAUGUGCAUUUGGACCGGUACGGAUCUCAAAUC